GGAGACAGAACUAGCUCUAAGGGGCGGUUUAGGUUCUUCCUCCCCGCUCUGGCUCUGGCUGAGGAUAGAUAUGGCCUGAAACUGCAUUCCUGUUUAUCUCCCCUUCUCAAGGUGGAUCUGUCAGAAGCACUUUCUUAAUGUAUCACGGGCACUGGAGUCCUUCAGGAUCUGCUUCUGGGAGAAAAUGACCAAACAGCCAUCAUAAAUAUUUGAACUCCCUCUUACGAAAAGCUGAAAAUCACUGAGUGUUUUCAUCUGAAGGAUGUGACAUUAAACCAUGGCCUGACCUUGUGGGAUGCUUUCAAAGGCCUUACUACCUUCUCAAGACAGAAUAAAUGGCAUACUGAACUAAGCCAGAAUAGUAAAUCCUGGUAUAUGUGGCACCACGUCUACACCCUCAUCUGCGGUAGACAUUACUAAUCAAUCAUGGAGUUUAGC
rnacentral:lncRNA from 1 species